rnacentral:rRNA from 1 species
CUAUACCGUGAAACUGCGAAUGGCUCAUUAAAUCAGUUAUCGUUUAUUUGAUAGUACCUUACUACAUGGAUAACCGUGGUAAUUCUAGAGCUAAUACAUGCUAAAAACCCCGACUUCGGAAGGGGUGUAUUUAUUAGAUAAAAAACCAAUGCCCUUCGGGGCUCCUUGGUGAUUCAUAAUAACUUAACGAAUCGCAUGGCCUUGCGCCGGCGAUGGUUCAUUCAAAUUUCUGCCCUAUCAACUUUCGAUGGUAGGAUAGUGGCCUACCAUGGUGUCAACGGGUAACGGGGUAUUAGGGUACGAUACCGGAGAGGGAGCCUGAGAAACGGCUACCACAUCCAAGGAAGGCAGCAGGCGCGCAAAUUACCCAAUCCCGACACGGGGAGGUAGUGACAAUAAAUACUGAUACAGGGCUCUUUCGGGUCUUGUAAUUGGAAUGAGUACAAUUUAAAUCCCUUAACGAGGAACAAUUGGAGGGCAAGUCUGGUGCCAGCAGCCGCGGUAAUUCCAGCUCCAAUAGCGUAUAUUAAAGUUGUUGCAGUUAAAAAGCUCGUAGUUGAACCUUGGGCCUGGUUGGCCGGUCCGCCUCACCGCGUGCACUGGUCCGACCGGGCCUUUCCUCCUGGGGAGCCGCAUGCCCUUCAUUGGGUGUGUCGGGGAACCAGGACUUUUACUUUGAAAAAAUUAGAGUGUUCAAAGCAGGCCUAUGCUCGAAUACAUUAGCAUGGAAUAAUAGAAUAGGACGUGUGGUUCUAUUUUGUUGGUUUCUAGGACCGCCGUAAUGAUUAAUAGGGAUAGUCGGGGGCGUCAGUAUUGCGUUGUCAGAGGUGAAAUUCUUGGAUUUACGCAAGACUAACUACUGCGAAAGCAUUCGCCAAGGAUGUUUUCAUUAAUCAGUGAACGAAAGUUAGGGGAUCGAAGACGAUCAGAUACCGUCGUAGUCUUAACCAUAAACUAUGCCGACUAGGGAUCGGGCGAUGUUAUCUUUUUGACUCGCUCGGCACCUUACGAGAAAUCAAAGUCUUUGGGUUCU